GACCUGGAGCGAAUCUCAGAAAUAACGUCUCAGUUCGGAUUGUAGUCUGCAACUCGACUACAUGAAGCUGGAAUCGCUAGUAAUCGCGGAUCAGAAUGCCGCGGCGAAUACGUUCCCGGGUCUUGUACACACCGCCCGUCACACCAUGGGAGUCGGGAAUGCCCGAAGCCAGUGACCCAAGCGAGAGCAGGGAGCUGUCGAAGGCAGGCCGGAUAACUGGGGUGAAGUCGUAACAAGGUACC
rnacentral:rRNA from 1 species